rnacentral:tRNA from 1 species
GUUUUUAUAGUUUAAAAUAAAACAUUGGUCUUGUAAACCAAAAUUAAGUUUAAUACUUUAAAAACU